UGGAUUCACUCUUGCCGUCUUCCAGCAGCACGUCAACUUCCAGCAGACCAUUAAUAUCGUAGCUAAAACGAAUAUC
rnacentral:tRNA from 1 species